AAAAUAACAAUGAUUUCCCUAGUAACGGCGAGUGAAGAGGAAAGAGCUCAAAGUUGGAACCUGUUUGGCCUAGCUAAACAGGAUUGUAAACUGUAGAAGUGUUUUCCAGGCAAUCCGAGUUAAUAAGUCCUUUGGAACAGGGCAUCAUAGAGGGUGAGAAUCCCGUCUUUGAUUCGAGAAUUUUUUGCCUUUUGCGAUACACUUUCAAAGAGUCAGGUUGUUUGGGAAUGCAGCCUAAAUUGGGUGGUAAAUCUCACCUAAAGCUAAAUAUUGGCGAGAAACCGAUAGCGAACAAGUACCGUGAGGGAAAGAUGAAAAGAACUUUGAAAAGAGAGUUAAACAGUAUGUGAAAUUGUUAAAAGGGAACCGUUUGGAGCCAGACUGGCUUGUCUGUAAUCAAUCUAGGCUUUGGCCUGGAUGCACUUGCAGACUAUGCCUGCCAACGACAAUUUGAUUUGAGGGAAAAAACUAGAGGAAAUGUGGCCAGCUUUUUUUUGUUGGUGUUAUAGUCCUUUAGAAAAUACCUUGGAUUGGAUUGAGGAACGCAGCGAAUGCUCUUGUGGCGAGUCUUUGAUAAGUCUUUACAGAUAUGACUGGGUGUUAAAAAACCCAGAACUUGAAGUUUAAACUUGUUUUUUUGUACUUUAAUUCGCUUAGGUUGUUGGCUUAAUGACUCUAAAUGAC
rnacentral:rRNA from 1 species